UACGUAGGGUGCAAGCGUUACUCGGAAUUACUGGGCGUAAAGCGUGCGCAGGCGGUUUUGCCAGUCAGAUGUGAAAUCCCCGGGCUCAACCUGGGAACUGCAUUUGUGACUGCAUCGCUAGAGUACGGCAGAGGGGGAUGGAAUUCCGCGUGUAGCAGUGAAAUGCGUAGAUAUGCGGAGGAACACCGAUGGCGAAGGCAAUCCCCUGGGCCUGUACUGACGCUCAUGCACGAAAGCGUGGGGAGCAAACAGG
rnacentral:rRNA from 1 species